GCUUACGGCCACACCGCCUGGUUCACGCCCGAUCUCGUUUGAUCUCGGAAGCUAAGAUAGGUUGGGCCUGGUUAGUACUUGGAUGGGAGACCGCCUGGGAAUACCAGGUGCUGUGAGGC
rnacentral:rRNA from 1 species